CCGCAGCUGGUCGACGUCCUAUAUUUU
rnacentral:sRNA from 1 species